UGUCCCCAUUAGGGUAGUAAACAAGGACAACACAUAAACUCACAAGUGUAGGUAGUGUGUUAACAUGAGGGGCAAGUUUUUCGCUAACAUUGCAAGGGUCUCUGGCCCGAUGAGUGGAGUUUGAUAGUAAUCCUUGCUACAAGU
ensembl:snoRNA SNORA62 Small nucleolar RNA SNORA62/SNORA6 family